rnacentral:rRNA from 3 species
UUAAGCGACUAAGCGUACACGGUGGAUGCCCUGGCAGUCAGAGGCGAUGAAGGACGUGCUAAUCUGCGAAAAGCGUCGGUAAGGUGAUAUGAACCGUUACAGCCGGCGAUGUCCGAAUGGGGAAACCCAGUGUGAUUCGUCACACUAUCGUUAACUGAAUACAUAGGUUAACGAGGCGAACCGGGGGAACUGAAACAUCUAAGUACCCCGAGGAAAAGAAAUCAACCGAGAUUCCCCCAGUAGCGGCGAGCGAACGGGGAGCAGCCCAGAGUCUGAAUCAGCUUGUGUGUUAGUGGAACGGUCUGGAAAGUCCGACGGUACAGGGUGAUAGUCCCGUACACCAAAAUGCACAGGUUGUGAACUCGAAGAGUAGGGCGGGACACGUGGUAUCCUGUCUGAAUAUGGGGGGACCAUCCUCCAAGGCUAAAUACUCCUGACUGACCGAUAGUGAACCAGUACCGUGAGGGAAAGGCGAAAAGAACCCCGGCGAGGGGAGUGAAAAAGAACCUGAAACCGUGUACGUACAAGCAGUGGGAGCACCCUUUAUGGUGUGACUGCGUACCUUUUGUAUAAUGGGUCAGCGACUUAUAUUCUGUAGCAAGGUUAACCGUAUAGGGGAGCCGCAGGGAAACCGAGUCUUAACUGGGCGUUAAGUUGCAGGGUAUAGACCCGAAACCCGGUGAUCUAGCCAUGGGCAGGUUGAAGGUUGGGUAACACUAACUGGAGGACCGAACCGACUAAUGUUGAAAAAUUAGCGGAUGACUUGUGGCUGGGGGUGAAAGGCCAAUCAAACCGGGAGAUAGCUGGUUCUCCCCGAAAGCUAUUUAGGUAGCGCCUCGUGAACUCAUCUUCGGGGGUAGAGCACUGUUUCGGCUAGGGGGUCAUCCCGACUUACCAACCCGAUGCAAACUACGAAUACCGAAGAAUGUUAUCACGGGAGACACACGGCGGGUGCUAACGUCCGUCGUGAAGAGGGAAACAACCCAGACCGCCAGCUAAGGUCCCAAAGUCACAGUUAAGUGGGAAACGAUGUGGGAAGGCACAGACAGCCAGGAUGUUGGCUUAGAAGCAGCCAUCAUUUAAAGAAAGCGUAAUAGCUCACUGGUCGAGUCGGCCUGCGCGGAAGAUGUAACGGGGCUAAACUGUGCACCGAAGCUGCGGCAGCGACACUUAGGUGUUGUUGGGUAGGGGAGCGUUCUGUAAGCCUGCGAAGGUGGCCUGUGAGGGUUGCUGGAGGUAUCAGAAGUGCGAAUGCUGACAUAAGUAACGAUAAUGCGGGUGAAAAGCCCGCACGCCGGAAGACCAAGGGUUCCUGUCCAACGUUAAUCGGGGCAGGGUGAGUCGACCCCUAAGGCGAGGCCGAAAGGCGUAGUCGAUGGGAAACAGGUUAAUAUUCCUGUACUUGGUGUUACUGCGAAGGGGGGACGGAGAAGGCUAUGUUAGCCGGGCGACGGUUGUCCCGGUUUAAGCAUGUAGGCGGAGGUUCCAGGUAAAUCCGGUACCUUUUUAACGCUGAGGUGUGAUGACGAGGCACUACGGUGCUGAAGUAACAAAUGCCCUGCUUCCAGGAAAAGCCUCUAAGCAUCAGGUAACAUUAAAUCGUACCCCAAACCGACACAGGUGGUCAGGUAGAGAAUACCAAGGCGCUUGAGAGAACUCGGGUGAAGGAACUAGGCAAAAUGGUGCCGUAACUUCGGGAGAAGGCACGCUGAUAUGUAGGUGAAGCCCCUGCGGGUGGAGCUGAAAUCAGUCGAAGAUACCAGCUGGCUGCAACUGUUUAUUAAAAACACAGCACUGUGCAAACACGAAAGUGGACGUAUACGGUGUGACGCCUGCCCGGUGCCGGAAGGUUAAUUGAUGGGGUUAUCCGUAAGGAGAAGCUCUUGAUCGAAGCCCCGGUAAACGGCGGCCGUAACUAUAACGGUCCUAAGGUAGCGAAAUUCCUUGUCGGGUAAGUUCCGACCUGCACGAAUGGCGUAAUGAUGGCCAGGCUGUCUCCACCCGAGACUCAGUGAAAUUGAACUCGCUGUGAAGAUGCAGUGUACCCGCGGCAAGACGGAAAGACCCCGUGAACCUUUACUAUAGCUUGACACUGAACAUUGAGCCUUGAUGUGUAGGAUAGGUGGGAGGCUUUGAAGCGUGGACGCCAGUCUGCGUGGAGCCAACCUUGAAAUACCACCCUUUAAUGUUUGAUGUUCUAACGUUGGCCCCUUAUCGGGGUUGCGGACAGUGUCUGGUGGGUAGUUUGACUGGGGCGGUCUCCUCCCAAAGAGUAACGGAGGAGCACGAAGGUUAGCUAAUCCUGGUCGGACAUCAGGAGGUUAGUGCAAUGGCAUAAGCUAGCUUGACUGCGAGCGUGACGGCGCGAGCAGGUGCGAAAGCAGGUCAUAGUGAUCCGGUGGUUCUGAAUGGAAGGGCCAUCGCUCAACGGAUAAAAGGUACUCCGGGGAUAACAGGCUGAUACCGCCCAAGAGUUCAUAUCGACGGCGGUGUUUGGCACCUCGAUGUCGGCUCAUCACAUCCUGGGGCUGAAGUAGGUCCCAAGGGUAUGGCUGUUCGCCAUUUAAAGUGGUACGCGAGCUGGGUUUAGAACGUCGUGAGACAGUUCGGUCCCUAUCUGCCGUGGGCGCUGGAGAAUUGAGGGGGGCUGCUCCUAGUACGAGAGGACCGGAGUGGACGCAUCACUGGUGUUCGGGUUGUCAUGCCAAUGGCAUUGCCCGGUAGCUAAAUGCGGAAGAGAUAAGUGCUGAAAGCAUCUAAGCACGAAACUUGCCCCGAGAUGAGUUCUCCCUGAGACUUUAAGUCUCCUGAAGGAACGUUAAAGACGAUGACGUUGAUAGGUCGGGUGUGUAAGCGUAGCGAUACGUUGAGCUAACCGAUACUAAUGAACCGUGAGGCUUAACCUU